AAGACAACCGUGUAGAAAGCAGCUUUGCAUCUCCUCCUGGCUUUCACUGCAGAGAAGAACAUGUCUCCUUUGUGUGUGCAGGAAGUCCCUUGGGCUGUGAGUUCAUCUGGGGUCAUGCUUACGCGUACCAUGAAGACAAUGGACAAGCAUGUUAACAGGGCUAUUUCCUUGCUGGUAACAGAACCUGGCAAGAUCAAGCUCACUAUCAGGUGUGGUUGGUGAUCCUCCGUGUUCCUGUGCAGCAGAAGGACAGAGGUGUGCCCUCCUUCAGCACUGGGACAAAAUUCAGAAGUGUCUGCAACCUCGCUUUAACAGUGCGGGAAAUAACCUCUAUUACCUGGAAUUUCACUGGAACUUUGGAAUAUACAAGAGAAAUAUUUCUCUUGAUUGGUAUUCAUACGACCACCGCCCCUCCAUGGAGCAUCCAAUGACUUGGAACAGAGCUCUGGGGACUGGCAUCCUUCCACUGACUUUGACACUGAUGAGAGCCCUGAACAUGUGAUUCUGUUGGCCUUAACCUGACCCACAUGCAUGUAUUCCUCAGACAUCUAGAGCUGAAGUCGAGAGCCUCUGUGGGAACGCUUGGCAGCCUAUGCUAUUCUAAGGCUGGAGCAGACUUUAUUAGUCUAUUCCAGCCAGACAGGACUGCAGGGGGUCCAGCCCCUACAAGCCCCUCUGUCUGUAAUAGACUGCGUUCAUCUCUGGUGUUAGGAAGCAGACCUGUUUCAGGGGUUGGGGAAGGUUGUUCGAUAUGAAAUGGGUCCUCUCUUAAUUAUUUUUACAGUAUGUGUGACUUCUUCCUAGAAAGAAUGGAAGAAUAUUUAUGUUAGAACAUUUUAUCAGUUCUUUGUCAAUUGUUGUUUGUCUGCAAUUUUAGAGUAGAUAAAGGAGAGCUCAAUGUAAAUAUACUCUUAAUACUUAAUUAUGGUUGAUGUCCACUGCCUGAGAUAUUUACUUCUAUAUACUAUCUAUUACUUCGGAAUUGUCCUGCUCCUGAUGAGAAAACAGACUCAGAAAGAUUACAAAAUUACUAGGCCACAAAUGUUGUGAGGAGAAGAAUAAGAAUUAGAAACUAGUUUCUUUUGGCCUUCGAAGCUAACCUUAUACCAUUAGAUCGAACUGAAUGACAGUACUUUUGCUAAAGCAAGUCUCAGAGUUUGUGGUUCUGCAUUGUUUUUCCAAGGAAACAGUGUGUCGCUUUAAUAUUAUUUCAGACUUUUAAAUGUCAAAUUCUAUUUUUUAAUAAAACUUUUUUUGUGUUUGUUCUCUUUCAUUGUUUUUGUUUUGUUUUGUUUUUUCUCAAGGGAUCCCUAUUAUUUAUCUGCUCAAUAUUUGUUACCUAUCUUCUGUCAAUUUUUACUUUUUGAGUGUUUGUUAUCUGUCACUUUGUUUUAUGCUACUAGCUAUUCGCUAAGGUGUAAUUUGCAUGGAAUAAACUACAAAAACCUAAGGGUACAGAUUAAUGACUUUAAUAUAAUUGUACAUUGUAUAAUAACAUCCAGAUCAAGAGAGGCAACAAUUUUAUUCUAUGCCAGGGAGUUCUGACAUGCUCCUUGCCAGUCAAUACUCAUCCUCAAAUGAAGAAUAUAUUCUAAAUCUUGUUACUAUCUUAGUCCCUUUGUCCCUUUGUGUUGCCAUAAAGGAAUACCAGAGGCUGGGUCAUUUAUAAAGAAAAAAGAGGUAUUUCGCUCAUAGUUCUGUAGGCUGCACAAGAAUAAUGGUACCAACAACUGUUCCUCAUGAGGGCCUGAGGCUGCUUUCCCCUGCAGCAGAAGAUGAAAGGGAACCAGUGUGUGCAAGGAUCAUAUGGUGAGAGAGGAAGCAAAGAGAGAGGAAAAGCACAAGGCUCUUUUUAAUAACCAGCUCUUGUGGGAACUAAUAGAGUGAGAAUUCACUCACUACCUUCUCCCAGGGAGGGGGUUAAUCUAUUCAUGGGGGAUCCACUCCCAUGACCCAAACACCUCCCAUUAAGCCCCACCUCCAACAUUGGGGAUCCAAUUUCAACAUGAGAUUGGGAGGGGACAAAUAUCGAAACUAUAGCAGCCACAUCGGAUUAAUUUUGCUGAUUUUUUUGCUUCAUAACAAUGAAAUCAUUUCAGUAUCUGCUCUUAUUUUGACUUCUCUUAAUCAGUUGGAUAUAUAUGCUACUACUUUGUUUUUUUCUUUCAUUUCAUUUUGUUUUGACCUAGAAAUAUCCUAUUUAAUGUAUAAUUAUCACACAGUUUGAUAUCCACUUUUGUGAUGGUAGACAGGUUUACUUGUUGUCUACUAUGCAUCAGUAACUGAAAAUAUUCUUGUACACUUCUUUCUGUGAAGACACAUACUCGUUUUUCCUGGGUGUUGAUAGCUAGGGAUGGAAUUGCUUGGUGAAAGGCUGAAAAUGGACACAGAGUUUUGCAAAAAAGUUAUAUUAUUUUACAUUUCUAUGACAAAUAUAGGCUAUUUCCAGUUGCUUUACAUUCCCACACACUUAAUAUUUUCAGUCUUUUAAGUUUUAGCCAUUCUACCAGGUGUGUAUUGAUAUCAUCUAUUUUGGUUUUCACAUGCCUAUUGAUCAUUAAGACAUCUUAUGUAAAGCACAUUUUCAAAUUUUUCCACUCAUUGAUAUACUGGGCUGUUUGUUGUUUUCUUUGUGAUCUACUGGAGUUAUUUACACAUUUUGAAAGAGUCCAUUGUUUCAUUUAUGUACAUGUGAAGCAUUGAAGUUGAGAGCCUCUCUGAGAAUGCUUGGCAGCCCAUGCUGUUCUAAGGCCAGAAUGGACUUCCUCAGCCCACGCCAGAGAGGGGACCAUAGGGGUUGGACCUAGUCAAGACUAAUUUUGUGUG